AUGUAAUUUUUUCCUAUCUAAGUAUACAGUCCCCUUUAGGGCCCAUGGAUCACAGGUUAAGAAUCUGCCCCAGACUGUUGAAAAUGCAGGUUGAGAUGGCAUUCCCCUCUAGAAGACUCAAAACAUCAUUUGGUUUAUAUCUUUGAGUAACAUUGUGUUAUGUGGCCUGCUUUGGUUGCAGUAAUUGUGAAACCAAUGAAGUUUGUUUUGUGGUGUUUUCCCCAGGGUCAACAGUUGUCACCGACAGAUGGCUGAGAUUGCUGUGAAUGCCGUCCUCACUGUAGCAGAUAUGGAGCGGAGAGACGUUGACUUUGAGCUUAUCAAAGUAGAAGGCAAAGUGGGCGGCAGGCUGGAGGACACUAAACUGAUUAAGGGCGUGAUUGUGGACAAGGAUUUCAGUCACCCACAGAUGCCAAAAAAAGUGGAAGAUGCGAAGAUUGCAAUUCUCACAUGUCCAUUUGAACCACCCAAACCAAAAACAAAGCAUAAGCUGGAUGUGACCUCUGUCGAAGAUUAUAAAGCCCUUCAGAAAUACGAAAAGGAGAAAUUUGAAGAGAUGAUUCAACAA
rnacentral:sRNA from 1 species